AGCCGGUUUGUUGUUACUUUCAGGUGAAACUUUCCUCGCUGGUGCCGGGCAUUUCUGGAGGACAGCAUUGGGUGGAGCUGAAAAGGAGGGGCCCGCGGGUGCCUGGACCUGGAUGGGGCGGGGUUGGCCAAAUCCCUUCCUUUGGAUUCCACCUCCAGCUAGACCCCGUGGAGCCUGGUUUUCCCAUUUCUGCCCCUCUGCUGAGCCAUUCUAGAGCCCCUACCCAUGAUCGUUCUAUCGACGCUAACGCUUGCCUUCGACUUAUCGUCACGAUAAUCGUUAUCAUCACCAUUGGACAGUGAACCCCCGACCGAACUCUCCCCUGGAACGGCUGUUACUUACAAAUAAUUUCUGUUCUCACUAACAACGUGACAAGGAGACAGAUGCAACCUGUUCGGGCUCGGUGGUCUGGGAAUCCGUCCUGCUGCAGCACCCCACGCACAAGCCCCUUUGCCCUCCGGUCCCCACCGUCCGGUCCACAGGGCGGGCUCCCCAGCCCCUCGCUGAAGGAGGGGAAACCCUGCGUGGGUUUUGCCGCUGCCUUGCUGGCUGCUGCAUGCUGGGAACUUGCCGACAUCACCAUGCGGACAGUGUUCACGACAACCCAGGGUUCGGACCGGCCAGCGACUUGACCAGAAUCCUGCAAAUACUGAGUGACGAGCCACCCGUUGGCCUCGGGUCUUUCCGAUUCCAGAGCCCACGUUUUUCACCGACAUAUGGGGCCAGAAGUGCUCCCUCUUCCGUUCCUCCUCUCUCCUCCCCAGCUCUUCGCCCACAGCCCAGCACCCCCAGCGCCCCUUGGACAGGCAGCUGGGGAUCUGAGAUGCCGCGUCACUUGCUGGGACUGUGAGAGGAACUUGGCUUUGGAGACGCCCUGACCUCAUGCACCUGAGCCCCCAGAAUCCACAGUCCACCCCUAGUUUGGGAACCACCUGUCUGGGGAUGACACACGGGUGUUCCCUUCACUUCUAGCAGCUCAGACGUGCACCCAGGGUAACCCUGAGCAUCACCUGCUGCAGAUGUGUGAGUGACGAUCACGCUGCGCCCGGGGUUACUGUCACACGUUUGUUCCAAGGAGCAUCUCUUCUGGGCGUCUGUGACCCUCACAGCAUCCUGAGAAGUAGAGCCUCACUUAGGCCCCUUGAACGGGGAAAACAGGCUCACAGUGAUUUUUGAAGCCGGAGGACUCCAGAGUUCCUUCAGCUUCUCGUCGACAGAUAAAGAAGCUGAAACCCAGAGAGCAGUGACCAGAGAGUGUGGGGCCGAGCUGGCACCAGAUUCCAGGCUCCCUCGGUCCCCAGGCCGGUGCCUAAACAGAAUGGCAGGCAUCCCGCGGGCCAGUCCUGGAUGUUGGUGGUUUUUUGUUUGGUUUUGUUCUUUAGCUUCAGCAGGUUCCCAGCCUGCCUGAUCUCCUGAGAAGCUGGAAAGGGGCGGGGUGGGGUGGGGGGGUCGGGGGGCAGAUCUGCCUGGAUUCAGAUCCAGGUCGGCCACUGCCUUGGGGCGUGUGACCUUGGACGGCCCCUCCUUUGCCUCCACAGGCCUCAGUUUUCUCGUUUUUCUCAUCUGUAAAACCUCUCCCGGGACCAAGGAGCUGAGUCUGCGGCUCUGGCCUUCUGGGUGUGCUCCGAGCGUACCGUUCCCCCAGGGGCCUCGAAGCCGGACGUGGUCUACACCACUGCUUGGCUUGGCACAAUGCUCCACUUCCCCAGCAAAGAUUUUCAUUCCUCCUGCUGGAAAGUUGGCUCCAUGCAUUCGGGCUGAAUAAGUUGAUUUGUAGAAAUUACCCUUUCCUGGGGCUCCUCACAUCAGAAGCAGCAGGUGGGUGCUCUGAGUGCUUCUGAAUGCGCCCCGGAGUCCAGCUGGGACAAAUCUAUCCCUCCAAAGCGACAUCUGCUGGAAGGUGGCAUUGAAUUCUGUCACAUUAUAAUAGCUUCUCCCUCGGUUCCAGUAACCUUUAUUUAACCGGCGUCGGAAUCUCCCCUCGAGAGGCGCACGUCCUUGUCUGGGACUUUUUCUGGCAGGAGGGGUCCUGGGAGCCCACUGUGUUACAGAGGACGGAACCCGUGAUGCCGGCAGAGUGAGGGGCCACGGAGCCUGGCAGGGGGGCAAGGGAUAGGCCUGAUGGGGGAGGAGAGGCUGGUUGAAAGGGCCACACUGAUGGGAUGACUAACUCUGCAGGGUCUGUCACCCUGGAUGGGCGCCCUGGAGACUGUCGUUCAUCCAUUCACUUUCUCACGCACUCACUCAACAAACACUUGCGGCCAGGGAUGGCUGAGGGAUGUGCAGGUGAAGGGGGACACAGAGGUGAGUGAGAGCUGUUCUUUACCCUCAAAGGGCUCAGGGUCUGUCACAAAAGAUAGACUCUGCCUCAAGAAAUACAAUAAUAGA